rnacentral:pre_miRNA from 1 species
AAUUUCAGCUGAAAAAGUCAUGAACAUAAAAGUUGUAGAACUCAUCAAGAUAUACAACUUUUAUUUUGGUUAUUUCUUCAUCCGACAAAGUGAUAUUAACAUUGUUCACAAAAUUUACAUAUAUCUCUUAUAGUUUAUAAAAUCAAAUGAGAGAUGUAAAUUUUGUGAACAAUGUUACUAUCACUUUGUCAGAUGAAAUAAUGACCAAAAUAAAAGUUAUAAAUGUUGAUGAGCUAUACAACUUUGUUGUUGAUGACUUUUUCAGUUGAAAUC